AGAGUGAACGCUGGCGGCAGGCCUAACACAUGCAAGUCGAACGGCAGCACAGCCCCGCAAGGGGUGGGUGGCGAGUGGCGGACGGGUGAGGAAUACAUCGGAAUCUACCCUGUCGUGGGGGAUAACGUAGGGAAACUUACGCUAAUACCGCAUACGACCCACGGGUGAAAGCGGCGGACCGCAAGGCGUCGCGCGACUGGAUGAGCCGAUGUCCGAUUAGCUAGUUGGCGGGGUAAAGCCCACCAAGGCGACGAUCGGUAGCUGGUCUGAGAGGAUGAUCAGCCACACUGGAACUGAGACACGGUCCAGACUCCUACGGGAGGCAGCAGUGGGGAAUAUUGGACAAUGGGCGCAAGCCUGAUGACGCAACGCCGCGUGGGGGAUGAAGGUCUUCGGAUCGUAAACCCCUGUCGAGUGGACGAAUAACUCGCGAAUUAAUACCUCGUGGAAUGACGGUACCGCGUAAAGGAAGCCACGGCUAACUCUGUCGCAGCAGCCG
rnacentral:rRNA from 1 species